AGCCUGAUGGAGCACACCGCGUGAGUGAAGAAGGGUUUCGGCUCGUAAAGCUCUGUUGUUGGAGAAGAACGUGCGUGAGAGUAACUGUUCACGCAGUGACGGUAUCCAACCAGAAAGUCACGGCUAACUACGUGCCAGCAGCCGCGGUAAUACGUAGGUGGCAAGCGUUAUCCGGAUUUAUUGGGCGUAAAGCGAGCGCAGGCGGUUGCUUAGGUCUGAUGUGAAAGCCUUCGGCUUAACCGAAGAAGUGCAUCGGAAACCGGGCGACUUGAGUGCAGAAGAGGACAGUGGAACUCCAUGUGUAGCGGUGGAAUGCGUAGAUAUAUGGAAGAACACCAGUGGCGAAGGCGGCUGUCUGGUCUGCAACUGACGCUGAGGCUCGAAAGCAUGGGUAGCGAACAGGAUUAGAUACCCUGGUAGUCCAUGCCGUAAACGAUGAGUGCUAGGUGUUGGAGGGUUUCCGCCCUUCAGUGCCGGAGCUAACGCAUUAAGCACUCCGCCUGGGGAGUACGACCGCAAGGGAUAACACUCAAAGGA
rnacentral:rRNA from 4 species